GAAACACUUGACCCUGCUGGCAUCAACCCUGCCAGGGCUAGGCCAGAAGGGAAUGUGGGGGAAAUUUUUAAACUGAUUCAUUAGGAAAGGAGAGGCUGGAGUCCUCCAGUUUCUCUCUGGAGAAGUUUAGAAAAGAGAAGGGUUUGGGGGACCUGUUUCUAUCAAAGGAUCUCAGCUACCUUGGAGGGAGUGAUAUGUGUAUGAGGAUCCCCCAGGGUGAAGCAAACACCGAGAGUCACCCUUGGGUCCCCACGUGCAUG
rnacentral:lncRNA from 1 species